UACGUAGGGUGCAAGCGUUAAUCGGAAUUACUGGGCGUAAAGCGUGCGCAGGCGGCUUUGCAAGACAGAUGUGAAAUCCCCGGGCUUAACCUGGGAACUGCCUUUGUGACUGCAAGGCUUGAGUGCGGCAGAGGGGGAUGGAAUUCCGCGUGUAGCAGUGAAAUGCGUAGAUAUGCGGAGGAACACCGAUGGCGAAGGCAAUCCCCUGGGCCUGCACUGACGCUCAUGCACGAAAGCGUGGGGAGCAAACAGG
rnacentral:rRNA from 1 species